GACGAACGCUGGCGGCGUGCUUAACACAUGCAAGUCGAACGGUGAAGCUCCAGCUUGCUGGAGUGGAUCAGUGGCGAACGGGUGAGUAACACGUGAGCAACCUGCCCCUGACUCUGGAAUAAGCGCUGGAAACGGCGUCUAAUACUGGAUACGAGAAGGGUCCGCAUGGGCACUUUCUGGAAAGUUUUUCGGUUGGGGAUGGGCUCGCGGCCUAUCAGCUUGUUGGUGAGGUAAUGGCUCACCAAGGCGACGACGGGUAGCCGGCCUGAGAGGGCGACCGGCCACACUGGGACUGAGACACGGCCCAGACUCCUACGGGAGGCAGCAGUGGGGAAUAUUGCACAAUGGGCGAAAGCCUGAUGCAGCGACGCCGCGUGAGGGAUGACGGCUUUCGGGUUGUAAACCUCUUUCAGCAGGGAAGAAGCGAAAGUGACGGUACCUGCAGAAGAAGCACCGGCUAACUACGUG
rnacentral:rRNA from 1 species